rnacentral:lncRNA from 1 species
CCGUUAAAAGGAACCAAGCACUUGCUUUAGUACACGAUGAAGUUGUCAAUUCAAUUACAUUAAUUAGCAUCAAGUCACAGAGGAAUAAGCUUCGAGACACGCAAACAAAGAAGCAAUAAAGAAAUGAGAACCUUCUACAUUCAAGCACCAAUCCCUUAAGUGCUUGGUGAAGUGGAAAACGAAUAAUCAAACCAUGCCAGCUAGCAGCUAGCCCAGUAUCAAUCAUGGGAUGAAAUAAUAUGUUUGCAGGUUUGCAGAUUGUAAGUGUCAUAAUAUUGAGGUGGUUGUAUGUACAAGUGACAAGCAAGAACUAAAGGCCUCGUUGGUAUUUCAAACAAACACAGGUCAAGACUUCAACCAAAUGUCAAUACUUUCUAAGGAGGAUGAUAUUGCAUUGUACCUAAAGAAACCCCACUCCACAGAAAAAGGGAAAACUACUAACUGUUCCAUUUUUCAUAUGUAGAUAUUAAUUCUUGAUGUUCACGAUCCAAAAAAGACGUGGAGUACUACAAACAAUGUUUAAAAAAUUAAUCGGGUAAAAAGGCGUUAUGCCAUUGAGGCAAGGCGUAAGCCUCAAGACAUAGUAAUAAAUAGAUCAAAAGAUUAUAAAAUUACAAAAAUAUGCUUAUAAUAAAUCA